CCUACGGGGGGCAGCAGUGGGGAAUAUUGGACAAUGGGGGCAACCCUGAUCCAGCCAUGCCGCGUGUGUGAAGAAGGCCCUCGGGUUGUAAAGCACUUUCAGUGAGGAAGAACGCCUGGUGGUUAAUACCCAUCAGGAAAGACAUCACUCACAGAAGAAGCACCGGCUAACUCCGUGCCAGCAGCCGCGGUAAUACGGAGGGUGCGAGCGUUAAUCGGAAUUACUGGGCGUAAAGCGCGCGUAGGUGGCUUGAUAAGCCGGUUGUGAAAGCCCCGGGCUCAACCUGGGAACGGCAUCCGGAACUGUCAAGCUAGAGUGCAGGAGAGGAAGGUAGAAUUCCCGGUGUAGCGGUGAAAUGCGGAGAGAUCGGGAGGAAUACCAGUGGCGAAGGCGGCCUUCUGGACUGACACUGCCACUGAGGUGCGAAAGCGUGGGUAGCAAACAGGAUUAGAUACCCCGGUAGUC
rnacentral:rRNA from 1 species